AGGUUAGCAUUUCUCAAGAAUUGGAGUAUCCUCUCAGAAAUGUGAGUUUCCUUACGAAUUUUGAGAUUUCUGACACCCACAGAAAGGCUGACAGUCUCCCCCAAGUCAGUGAUUCUCCCCCAAGAAAACUAAGAGACUCCACAGGAAGUUGCCUAAAAAUGGGAGCUAACUUCCGGGGCACUUAAGAUGCCUCAGGGAAUCAGGCCUCUUGUUCUCCACCCCACCUCCUUGCUGGCAUCAGCCACAAGUGGCCAGUCUUCCAGAAGCUCUGCUCAGGGCCCCCAGGGCACCUGCCCGCCCCCUCCUCCCUGCUACUUAAGCUCUUCUCCACCGCUGGCUCUCACUCCAGGGGCAGGUGGAGGAGACCCGAAGGUCCCAGGUGACGGGAGCCAUAACCCAGGGUGCUCGAGAGGGGACCCCGCGGGCACCACAUGACACCAGUCUUUUGUACGUACUACCAAGAAAGCCAAUGCGCUGCGAAUUAAACACAUGAAUUGUAAGAUGCCUCCUGAUUUCAGAGACAGUCCUGUGAGAGAAAAAUCUGGGUCAAAGCCACUUAAACGUGGUAGUAAAAACCAGAUGGUGUAAUAGAUAUGAUGAGCUUCUGAGUCCUCCAGCAAAGGAGUGCCCUCCUG